UACGAAGGGGGCUAGCGUUGCUCGGAAUCACUGGGCGUAAAGCGCACGUAGGCGGAUCCUUAAGUCGGGGGUGAAAUCCUGGAGCUCAACCCCAGAACUGCCUUCGAUACUGAGGAUCUUGAGUCCGGGAGAGGUGAGUGGAACUGCGAGUGUAGAGGUGAAAUUCGUAGAUAUUCGCAAGAACACCAGUGGCGAAGGCGGCUCACUGGCCCGGUACUGACGCUGAGGUGCGAAAGCGUGGGGAGCAAACAGGAUUAGAAACCCGGGUAGUCC
rnacentral:rRNA from 1 species